rnacentral:rRNA from 1 species
GGGUCAGUAGGUUGGUCGUGCCACCGGUACGUACUGGUCUCACUGAUUCCCCCUUCCUGAAGAACCGUAAUGCCAUUAAUUCGGUGUUGCGGGGAAACAGGACUGUUACUUUGAAAAAAUUAGAGUGUUUAAAGCAAGCUAACGCUUGAAUACAUUAGCAUGGAAUAAUGAAAUAGGACGAUCGAUCCUAUUUUGUUGGUUUCUAGGAUUGACGUA